rnacentral:rRNA from 1 species
UACAGAGGGGGCGAGCGUUAUUCGGAAUUAUUGGGCGUAAAGGGCGCGUAGGCGGCCUAUUAAGUGACGGGUGAAAUCCCUCGGCUUAACCGAGGAACUGCCUGUCAGACUGGAUGGCUUGAGUUUGGGAGAGGGAUGCGGAAUUCCAGGUGUAGCGGUGAAAUGCGUAGAUAUCUGGAGGAACACCGGUGGCGAAGGCGGCAUCCUGGACCAACACUGACACUGAGGAGCGAAAGCCAGGGGAGCAAACGGG